CCUCUGCCCACAGACGCGGGCGCGCCCCCGGCACCUGGCCCCCAUCCGGGCGCUCGCCGUCCCUCCGCGCUGCCUCCUCCGCCCAGCCCGUUGCUCCUGUGAGGCUCGCCCCUCCUCCCACGAAGCCUGCCUCGACGGCCCCAGAUCACGCUUCUCUCAUCGGCGUGUCCACAGCUCUGCGUCCGCGCUCCCAGCCCGGCCGAGAGCCCCGCGGGAGGUGUCCCGUGCCCGUCCUCGCGUCUGCAGCGGGCGCUCCUUCGUCUCCGCUGGGCCGACAGCUGUCAACACGGGUGCCCGGCGGUGGCGAGCACGCUGGCCCACGCGACACUCCCACCUCCCUCCUCAGGGGUCUGCAGGCGACAGGGACGUGGGGGAGUCGGGUCCAGGCGCAAGCGCGGGAGGACUGAGUCCGGGAGAGGCGGCUCAGGGCGCGUUUACAGCAGCCCCGCCCUGUGCUGCGGUGAGAACACACAGGGCGGGGGUCAACGGGCCAGUCUCCGCCCCGCCUUCACUCCUGCCCAUCCCUCUCGAGCCAGGGAAACGGCAUCACAGCCGGGGGUUCUUCCCCCAGCUCCACCCUCUCCGACGAUGGGACAGACCCUGGCCACGUCAGUAGGCGCCAGUGCCAAGUGCCUACUGUGUGCAGGGCAGCGGUGCUGCUCCCCUGUCUCGUCUCAUCCGAGCCUGACAUCAGGGCCACGAGGCAGGCACCCUCCGGAUGCCCACCCUUCAGACGAGGAGAGUGAGGCUGUGAGCCGUACUGGGCAGUUAAGUGCCUGGAGAGUACAGACCACAACCCGAGUGUGAACUGGCGCCACUGCAGUGCCCACUACGGGGAGACCGGCAGCAGCCUCCCGAUGGGGGACACCCCUCCUGGGGCCGCGGGAGUCGGGGGGACCCUCGGGGGCAGGGACUUCCCACCACUAAAAUGGAGGAACGAGCAGGAGGGGGUUGGAGGAAAAGAGCUUGUUAAAAAACUUGUAUUAAACUGUUGGUGUCCAUCUGACGUCACUGUAUUUAUUUUUCUAUUAAGAUAGUUCCCUGGAGUAUGUGGACUGCGCGGAUUCAGUCACUUUUAUCUGCUCAGACGUGGCUUGGUAGACGUCGGUUUCCUGUACCAAACAGCAAGCAUGAACGCUUAGACGAGCUGAACUUGGGGAUGUACAGCACCCUCUCUGACAAGCUGCAGCGGCUGGUGGACGCGGCCCGUGUGACGUGUUCUCAGGGCAAAUACUUGGCACCUCUGAACAGAGCCAUGCACCGCUGUGCCUUCUCUGGGAGAACCUGAGCCUGGAUCCGGGAGCAGCUGCGGGGAUGGAGGGCUCCAUCUGCCCCUUUUGCUGCAGAAGGAGGGCCGGGACCAGGCACCACCUGCCAGAACCUGCUCCCAGCCCAGAGCAUCCUAGAUGUAGACACGGACAUGUCAGCUCAGAGAGCCAACCAGGGCCCCCAGGGGUGUCGGGAAGCCAGGUACGGACGGGCCUAGAGUUACGUCCAGUCGCCCACAGCUGGCUCCGUGGGGCUCAGACCCUUAGAAGAGGGAGCGUCACCAGGCAGCAGGGGGCGCCCUACUCCCCCAGCUCCGCCAUCAUCUUGGCCACUGCAGACACGUGGACACGGCUCCUUGGGCUUUGGGCAUCGCUCUCUGCGGAGGCAGCGCUCCUCACGGGGCUGCACUGCCUGGGGUGGGGGGUCCUCAGGGGGUGUCCCCGCUGGACAGCUUCAACCCUGCAGGGCCCAGGGAGGUCUGACCCUCUCCAUGACACUUUCUUAACCACUGAACACACCUGACUCCUUUUGUCUGCAUCCAUCCACCAUUCGUACCAUUCAUACGUGACACUUUCUAAGGACCCCCAUGUAAAUAGCUUAUCUUCAAAGAGACUGGAGGCUCCUUGGGUUUGAGGCAAAGGCACAUUCCAAAGACCUGGGCCAACUAUGUUCAGGGACUUAUUUAUGGAGUGACAUCCUUCUCCGCAGAUGAGAACAGACCAAGAAGCGUGGAAGGUUGGAAGGAAGCCGCCCAGGCCACAGGCAGCUAUUCACAAUGCUCAGUGAGAGCUGUCAAUCAAUUAACACCAUCUCCUUCAUCUGGGACCAGUAACGGGACAGGGUAUCCCGCAUUGGGGGGAGAAGAAUUAAAAUUAGCAAAGACGCAGUGAAAUCAAAUGGCAUUCAAGGGGAGGAACUGGGGGCGGGGGGCGUGAGGGUCCUGAGACAAAGUCCCACAGACCAAGCCCAGGCAAGGACCCCACCUCCCGCCGACGGUCCACGUCUGCUGUCUCAGGGAAGGGAGAUGAGGGAGGAGGAGAAAUGUGGAAUAAAAUGAGGAGAGAAAGAGGAAAGAUGAAGACAAGAAGUCUAAGAAAAGUGUAAAAGGAGUGAACGCAGCUCCUCUUCCUCCGACCUCGCGCCUCGAAGUUCCAGGUAACCUGAGCCCCCCGCUGACUGAACAGAAACCAGGGGCAAACCCUGUGAGCACUCAGCCGUGACCAGGACUCGCGCAGGGACUCAGGAGGGCAGCGACCCUGCAGCAACCCGAGAACGAGGUCAAGCGGCGCCCGGCAGAGCGGCCGCGCUGCGAACGGGCCGCCUCCGCCAGCCCAGCUUGGAGGGAAACAGAAAGAAGAGGGAAUGAGACGGGGCCCAGACAAAGGAAAAGUGAGAAACGUGAAUGUUCAAAACAACCCUCCUCUACGUUUCACAUCAAGUCAAAGACCAAGAAGGGAGGAAAGAAAGGCCACAAAUGUCACGCAUAACUGAAAAGAGCCGUUGCGUCACUGGCUGGCUGGCGUGGCUCCCCAGCAGGACCGGGCCGACCCGCACGCUCCCAAGUGCUCCUGGAAAGCUAAGCGGAGGUACUUACUAACCAGCGCCCCGUAGACUCUGGAGAAGGCUUGCCGGAGGCGAGAGAGCAUGUCCCGAGUGAGACGCGGUGCCGACUACGGCCAGGGAGCCACGCAGCCCUUCUCCUCAGACAUCGAGACUCUUACUCCUCCACGUGCCCAAGAGCAAACCUCCAAGGGGCUCUCCUGAGGAAACGUAAAACCGGAGAACCAAGCUGGAGGCCACACAGCUCGAACGCAAAGCCACCAGGAGGACCCUCUGUUCCUUGUGUCCAGGCUGUCCGUGUAGACUCCUCAAUCAGACCUUCUCUCCAAAUCUGCGGCCACAAGGUGCAGACAGUCGUACCCAUUCACUGCUGGAAACUUCAAUUCCACUAUUUCCCAGGAGACUCCAACUAACACAUCCAAACUGAACUCUUUAUUUCCCCUCUGACCCAGCCAUGGCACAGACAGCUCCACCUCCACCUCCAACCUCCUUAUCAUAGCAAAUCUUCCUGUCACUUGCUGAUCAUCUGUGAUGGUUCAUUUUAUGUGUCAAUUUCACUGGGUGGCAGGAAGCCCAGAUGUCUGGUUCCAGGUGUGUCUGUGAGGCUGUUUUUGCAGGAGAUUAACCUGUGAAUCAGUGGACAGAGUAAACCAGAUAAUCUCUCCCUACCAUGGGUGGGCCUCAUCCAAUCAGUUGAACGCCAGAAUCAAACAAAAAGGCUGACCUCUCCUUAAGUAAGAGAGACCCCUCAAACUGUUCAACUGCCUUUGAGCUGGAAUAUCAUCAGUCUUUCCCUGCCUUUGAAUUUGAACUGAAAGACCCUCUUCCUGGGUCUCAGGGCUGCCAGCUUUCAACUGGAACUUACACAUUGGCUCUCCUAGUGUCCAGUUGCUGACUGCAGAUAUGGGAUUUGUCAGCAUCCAUGAUCACAUGAGCCAAUUUCUUGUAAUAAAUCCCUUUUUCUCUCUCUCUGCCGUGUGUGUGUGUGU